CCCGUCUAAUACCGCGUAAUGCCGCGGGGCUGCAUGGCCCUGCGGCCAAAGGAAGCGAUUCCGGCAACGGAUGGGCAUGCGUGACAUUAGCUAGUUGGCGGGGCAACGGCCCACCAAGGCGACGAUGUCUAGGGGUUCUGAGAGGAAGGUCCCCCACACUGGUACUGAGACACGGACCAGACUCCUACGGGAGGCAGCAGUGAGGAAUAUUGGUCAAUGGGCGCGAGCCUGAACCAGCCAAGUCGCGUGAGGGAUGACGGCCCUACGGGUUGUAAACCUCUUUUGUCGGGGAGCAAAUUCCGCCACGCGUGGCGGAGUCGAGAGUACCCGAAGAAAAAGCAUCGGCUAACUCCGUGCCAGCAGCCGCGGUAAUACGGAGGAUGCGAGCGUUAUCCGGAUUUAUUGGGUUUAAAGGGUGCGUAGGCGGACUGUCAAGUCAGCGGUAAAAUACGGGGGCUCAACCUCCGCCCGCCGUUGAAACUGACGGUCUUGAGUGGGCGAGAAGUAUGCGGAAUGCGUGGUGUAGCGGUGAAAUGCAUAGAUAUCACGCAGAACUCCGAUUGCGAAGGCA
rnacentral:rRNA from 1 species